GUUUCUCGGGUCAAACACAGAUGUUUCCUAAAGUUUGGACAGAUUGAGGAUUAAAGCACAUGUGAGGAGCUGAAGGCAGAUCAUUUCUGAAAAUGGGAAAACUCCAUCUUAUGAAAUCGUGCGGUGAGACAGCGCUGAUGUUUUCCACCCACAGUGUACCAGCCAUAAACACAAAACCAGCUGUUUACGGCCCUGCGAGCGCCGAGAAAGACAGGAAAAUGACUUAUGAGGGAGGACAUGUGGCGUUUUGGCUGGAGUGUUGUGUCAUCUGGAUUGCUGAGUGACUGAAACAUCAAUUCAAGACAAAAAAAAAAACGACUUCAAAUGAAAAUGAAGAAAGAUUGAAGGGAAAAUGCCUAAAAUAAGUAAAACUUUAAUUUGAAUGAUUCAUUUAAUUCACUUUAUCUAUAAAUUGUCAAUCUUCUGCCAAUGUUGUCUCAAGGUGACGCAAAAAACAAGUGUGAGUGAGUGCCUAAAAAAUAGUUAUUUCUGCUAUUCAGAUGUUUCUGUGGAUUUAAUUUAAUUUAAUUUAAUUUUUUUCAUUUUUCAAUGUGCAGAACCUUUCGCUGCACACAUCCAGUAACAUUUACAUAAGUAAUAGUAUCAAUGGAUAUUUUCUAUUUAACAUACCAGAUAAAUCCUUUAAGAAAUUCAAGCAGCAAAGCUUUAAAACAAAGUCUGUAACAAAAGAUGGUUUUAAGCUGCAUGAAUUUUUUUUUAUUUGUCUUUUUAUUUGGGGUUUUUAGGUGAAAUAACCUGAUUUAAGAGCUUAGAGGAUUUAAUCCAUAUUUUAAGCGAGCUUACAAUUCAAACAAAUAUUAUUUGUUGAUUAUGAUUAAACAUCAAUCAGAAUUUUGUCGUCAUUAUAUUUGUUUAGUGAGUUUAAACCCUAUUUGUAUUGUUAAACUUUACUCAAAACUCUUUCAUCUGAACCAACUUCACAUUAUCCUGAAGUAAAACAUAAUUUUCUAUUUUCUUGAUGAAAAUUUUCCACAUCUGUUGCUGUGUCCUCCAAAAUUCCCACUUAAAUGGGCUAAAGUUACAGAAAAAUCCAGUUAAAUGACCAACUUUCACCAGAAAACUCAGGAGAACCUUCUCAUGAUUAGCAAGCGUGGUCGACUCAGGUGCUGGAACCCGGAAGGAGGCUCGGCAGGCAGUGAGAUUGUCCAAGGAGUGGUUGGAGGGUAUUGUUGGCAGCAACCGCGUGAUCCGAGACUGGGGUUGGAGAACGUCCGAGCGAGACGGCGAGAGGUGACCCGUGAUCAGGUAUG